rfam:Danio rerio chromosome 4, GRCz11 reference primary assembly.
GCAUUGGUGGUUCAGUGGUAGAAUUCUUGCCUGCCACGCGGGAGACCCGGGUCCGAUUCCCGGCCAAUGCA